UAAACUACGAUUAGAUACCCUAUUAUUUUAGAUGUAAAUAUUUUGAUUACUUGGGUAGUAUUAGAUAUGGUCUUGAAACUCAAAGAAUUUGGCGGUGUUUUAGUCCUUUCAGAGGAACCUGUCCCGUGAUCGAUAAUCCACGUUAUAUCUUACUUGAUUUAGUGAUCAGCUUGUAUACCGCCGUCGUCAGAAUGUCCUUAAAGGGAAAAAUUUUCUUAAAUUUUUAAUAAAAAUUAUGUCAGGUCAAGGUGCAGUUUAUGGUCAAGUGGUGAUGGGUUACAAUAAAUUUAUUUAGUAUGGAUAAUAAGUUGAAAUUUAUUAAUUAGAAGGUGGAUUUGAUGGUAAUUUGAAUAAUUAAGUUUAUUUGAUUUUGGCUCUAAAAUAUGCACACAUCGCCCGUCGCUCUUA
rnacentral:rRNA from 1 species